ensembl:miRNA microRNA 3654
UUCAUGAGCUGCAAUCUCAUCACUGGAAUGUUCCAGCGACUGGACAAGCUGAGGAA